rnacentral:rRNA from 1 species
CCUACGGGAUGCAGCAGUAGGGAAUAUUGCUCAAUGGGGGAAACCCUGAAGCAGCAACGCCGCGUGGAGGAUGAAGGUUUUCGGAUUGUAAACUCCUUUUGUUAGAGAAGAUAAUGACGGUAUCUAACGAAUAAGCACCGGCUAACUCCGUGCCAGCAGCCGCGGUAAUACGGAGGGUGCAAGCGUUACUCGGAAUCACUGGGCGUAAAGAGCGCGUAGGCGGUAUAGCAAGUCAGAUGUGAAAUCCUAGGGCUUAACCAUAGAACUGCAUUUGAAACUGUUAUUCUAGAGUAUGGGAGAGGUAGGUGGAAUUCUUGGUGUAGGGGUAAAAUCCGUAGAGAUCAAGAGGAAUACUCAUUGCGAAGGCGACCUGCUAGAACAUAACUGACGCUGAUGCGCGAAAGCGUGGGGAGCAAACAGGAUUAGAUACCCGGGUAGUC